rnacentral:rRNA from 1 species
AUUGAACGCUGGCGGCAUGCCUUACACAUGCAAGUCGAACGGUAACGCGGGGCAACCUGGCGACGAGUGGCGAACGGGUGAGUAAUGUAUCGGAACGUGCCCAGUUGUGGGGGAUAACUGCUCGAAAGAGCAGCUAAUACCGCAUACGACCUGAGGGUGAAAGCGGGGGAUCGCAAGACCUCGCGCAAUUGGAGCGGCCGAUAUCAGAUUAGGUAGUUGGUGGGGUAAAGGCUCACCAAGCCAACGAUCUGUAGCUGGUCUGAGAGGACGACCAGCCACACGGGGACUGGGACACGGCCCAGCCUCCUGCGGGAGUGAGCAGUGGGGAAUUUUGGACAAUGGACGCAAGUCUGAUCCAGCCAUGCCGCGUGCGGGAAGAAGGCCUUCGGGUUGUAAACCGCUUUUGUCAGGGAAGAAACGCUCUGGGUUAAUACCUCGGGGUAAUGACGGUACCUGAAGAAUAAGCACCGGCUAACUACGUGCCAGCCGCCGCCGUAACAC